AGCCGGGAGAUUUAUUAUUUUCUAGUAUUAAAAUUGUUUUAUGGACUUCAGUUUCUGAGAACUCUUUAAAUAUAAUAUCAUUAGAAUAGGAAUUACAGUUUUUAAGUGUAUUAAAAUAAUCAUUAUAGUUAUCAUUGUUAGAACAUUUAUUUUUAAUGUAUAGGGUUAUAUAAGCGCCAACCUCUAAGAAAAAAUCAUUAAAAUAUUAGCCCAUAAGACUGGUUCCUUUAUUAGAUUGAUUCUUUUAUUUUUAAACUGCAUUGAAUUACUCAAAAUGUUAUUCUUUUUUUUCUAUCAAAAAUAUUCUAAUUUUGUUUAGUAUUUUUAUUAUAAAGUUCUUAGAUAGUCUAAUUAAUGUACAUAAUUUAUUUUUAUACAUUAUGAAAUAUUAUAACUAUAUUAGAACCAGGAGGCGCUUUUAUAGCUUUUAAACUUAAUCCAUCUGUUUUUCUAAUAGAAACUAAUAGGCCAGAUGUAAUCCAGGAUUUAAAUGUUUGUUUCUUUGCAUAAGUAAAAUAAUGUUGAGUAUUCAGCAAUAGUAUUAUGAAAGUUAUUUGCACAAUUAUCGAUAUUUACUUCAUUGAACACAUUACUCCAAUCGGUAAAGGAUAAUUUAUUUAAGCAGUGUAUUCCAGUUAACUUUUUUAAUAUUACAUAUAUUAUCUACUUUAGUCUCAUUAUUUUGUACUGUUCAUCCAACUACAUAAUGAUCAGUUAUACCGGAACAGUAAAUAAAACUUAUAAUAUUAUUAAUGCUAUUAAGUAUUAGAAUUAAUAAAAAUGUUAUCAAAUACAUGAAGUACUAAUUUUCUGUUACUCUAGUGAAAUUUGAGAUACAUUGAUAAAAACCAAGUUCAGCCAUACAAUCGAGGUAUUUAGAUUUGUUAAUAUUGUUACUAGCAUUAGAAAUAUCAAUAUUUAUGUCUCCUAAUAUUAUUAAAUUGUUUGAUUAAUGUUAAUUGUUAAUGGUAAUAAUGUUAAUUUUUGACACACAUUGUUUAAAAUUACUAAUAAAAUAUUUAAAAUUAUUACUUGGACUUCGAUAUAAAGCAAUAAUUUCAUAUUUU